GAUGAACGCUGGCGGCGUGCCUAAUACAUGCAAGUCGAGCGAACGGACGAGACGCUUGCUUCUCUGAUGUUAGCGGCGGACGGGAGAGUAACACGUGGAUAACCUACCUAUAAGACUGGGAUAACUUCGGGAAACCGGAGCUAACACCGGAUAAUAUCUUGAACCGCAGGGUUCAAAAGUGAAAGACGGCCUUGCUGUAUCUUAUCGAUGGAUCCGCGCUGCAUUAGCUAGUUGGGAAGGUAAAGGGUUACCAAGGGAACGAUGCGUAACCGACCGGUGAGGGUGGUCGGCCACACUGGAACGGGGACGCGGUCCAGACGCCUACGAGAGGCAGCAGUAGGGAAUGGUCCGCAAUGGGCGAAAGCCUUACGGAGCAGCGCCGCGUGAGUGGUGAAGGUCUUCGGACCGUAAAGCUCUGUUAUGAGGUAAGAACAUAUGUGUAAUUAACUGUGCACAUCGUGACGGUACCUAAUCAGAAAGCCACGGCUAACUACGUG
rnacentral:rRNA from 1 species